GGGAAAGUGGCUCAGUGGUAGAGUGCUUGCCUUGCAUGCAUGAGGCGCUAGGAUCCAUUCCUC
rnacentral:tRNA from 1 species